AAGUCGUAACAAGGUUUCCGUAGGUGAACCUGCGGAAGGAUCAUUAACGAAGUUCAUUGGGAGUUGAGCUGACUCUUCGGAGUAUGUGCUUGCUUUCAACCCUUCUCUUUAACCACCUGUGCACCUUUGUAGUCUAUUGAUAUCUCUCAAAGAGUCGAAAGAUGAUUUGGAUAGAGGACUUGCGCUUUAGCUUGUCUUCAAUUUCGAUAGACUAUGUCUUAUAAACUCAAUAUAAAAAACCAGAAUGUCUUUUGUAGCGUCUUUAUAUGACCUAUAAACUUAUACAACUUUCAACAACGGAUCUCUUGGCUCUC
rnacentral:misc_RNA from 1 species